rnacentral:lncRNA from 1 species
AAGAUAUUUGGUGAAGCAAUAUUCAGUCUCUCUAUCGACCCUGCCUGGCCCCAAAUGCAGGCAGACACCAGAGCAGUCUUGCUUACAUUUAAUGCAGAAACAUUUGCAGGUUUUCUCAAGAGUUGAGAGGGAUCUUCAAAUAUAUAGAAGAAAAAACAGCCUUCUGGAGAGCUUGAAACGCUGGGCUCUGAACCUGUGGUUCUUGCUGAAAUCACAUAACACCUUGAAGAUGACUAAACUGAGACUCUUGUGCUUUGGAUGUAUCUUGCAAAAAUAUUACUUGCUUGAAAAGAAAAUAAGGGAGAUUAGACUGGCCCCAACCCUGUCUGCCUUUAUCAAACAGCUGAAGACAUGGCUCUGCCAGCAUGCGUUUGAAUAACCACCAAUCUGAUAGACCCCUAUCACUGAUGCAUACUUUCUAUCACUUUACUUCCUUCCUAUUUAUCCUACCCUACAUUAUCCCAGCCGACUCUCUGACACUUGUCUAUGCACUUUAUCAAAAGCCUUUGAAAUUGUGUAUUUUCUUAUGCUUGACCCUUUUUAUCCAUAGUGAUGAUGUUUGUAUUAUUACCUCAAUUUGCUUGAUCAUUCUAUGUUUUAUUGUAUGUUAUGUUUUAACCAAUUAUUUUACUUGAUUGUUGUACUAUUAUUUUUAGUUAUUGAUACGUGUUUAAAAUUGUUAUACUUUGCUUCUGUGUUGGGUUCAGCCCCAUGUUAACCGCCCUGAGAUGGUGGUGGGAUAGAAAAAUAAAGUAUUAUUAUUAUUAUUAUUAUUAUUAUUAUUAUUAUUAUUAUUAUUAUUCUGCUUUGGUCAGACCUCACCCAAAA